rnacentral:rRNA from 1 species
CCUACGGGAGGCAGCAGUGAGGAAUAUUGGUCAAUGGGCGGAAGCCUGAACCAGCCAAGUCGCGUGAGGGAAUAAGGCCCUACGGGUCGUAAACCUCUUUUGCCGGGGAGCAAGGGCCGGGACGAGUCCCGGUCCGGAGAGUACCCGGAGAAAAAGCAUCGGCUACCUCCGUUCCAGCAGCCGAGGUAAUACGGGGUAUGCGAGCGUUAUCCGGAUUUAUUGGGUUUAAAGGGUGCGUAGGUGGGCUUUUAAGUCAGCGGUAAAAAUUCGGGGCUCAACCCCGUCCGGCCGUUGAAACUGGUGGCCUUGAGUGGGCGAGAAGAAGGCGGAAUGCGUGGUGUAGCGGUGAAAUGCAUAGAUAUCACGCAGAACCCCGAUUGCGAAGGCAGCCUUCCGGCGCCCUACUGACGCUGAGGCACGAAAGUGCGGGGAUCGAACAGGAUUAGAUACCCCAGUAGUC